rnacentral:misc_RNA from 1 species
CAACAUAGUUGCUACCAAUAUUUAUAUACAAAAAACCCCGGUGUCAUUUCGUUUCGACUUUUAGAUCAACUGUUACGUGAGAGUAACCGCCUAUAAACGAAUUUCAGAAGCAGAUAUUUUUUUCCUUAUAAUACUUAAGUAUUUUAAUAUUCCUGAUAUAAGAAACCAUUACAUUUAUCCAAUUAAUUAUUUUAAUAUUUCUGGCUUUCUAUACAUUUACUUAAAUUUUAUUAUUUAUUUAUAUCAAAAGAACACCAGUGACGAUUCGGUUCGACUUUUAGAUCAACCGAAGCGAAGCUACAUUUAAUUGAAUUUCACCGAGGCGCAGGUUCUUCUCUUUAUUCGACAUACCUAAUUAGGUAUUUUAAAACUUUUCACGUAAGAAACCAUUAACAUAGUUAAUUAAAUAUUUUGUUACAUCCAACCUACCAAAUACCAACUUGUAGAUGAAUUUACAGUGAAUCUUCCCCAAUGGCCAGCUAUCUCCGUUCAUUAAGUCUUUGUCGGUCAUUACUAAUUAACUACAGACACCUCAAGAACUUCCACCGUGUCUGCUCGGUUGCCAGGCCCCGUUUAUUAUACAAGCAUGACCAGAACUUCCAUACAGGCCUUAACUUUCGACAAGACGACCCGAAAUCCAAACUGGCGUAUAUGUCCCCUAAAAUGCAGAUUAUCUACACAUGCCGUGUUUGUGGGACACGCUCCUCCAAGACUUUCUCCAAGGUCUCCUACGAACGGGGUGUGGUGUUGGUGCGAUGUCCUGGCUGUCAGAACCUACACCUUAUAGCGGAUAACCUCGACUACUUCAGUAAAACCGGUAAAACAAAUGUUGAGAAAAUUCUGGCUGAAAAAGGAGAAAAAGUGACCAAAAAUCAAAGCCAUGAUGGAACAGUAGAAAUUGCACCCGAUUCAAGCUGAUGAUGUCAUUCGUUUCUGUCUCAUCUCUAUGACGACUCUAUUUCUUUCACAGGCAUGAGAAAUAUAUUUCUUGUGACAUUCAUGUCUUUCCUUGCAGCAAUAUUAAUAACAUCCUCAUCAUCGUUUUAUGUCUGUUUUCCAUGCUGGCAUGGAUCGUCUGAAUUCAAAACACAAUGAUGGCUGUGACAUUAACUUUUUUUUUGUUACCAUUAUUUCUGCCUUUGUUUCAAUUAAUUAUUCAAAACGAAGCAUUCAGUAAAAUUAAUUUUGUCAUUAAUAUUAAUGAGCUGUGUUUGUAACAUAAAUUAACGUGAAAUUUUGAAGGAAAGAAUGAUUAAAUUUAGAUCCCUUUAAAACGAAGUUUUUGUAUCCUAGAACUAGAGGUAGUCUUAGACAGGUUGGUAUCAUCAUCAUUGUCAUCGUUUAACGUCCGCUUUCCAUGCUGGCAUGGGUUAGAUGGUUUGAUUGAGGACUAGCAAGCCAGGAGGCUGCACCAGGCUCCAAUCUGAUCUGACAAACUUUCUACAGCUGGAUGCCCUUCCUAAUGCCGAGGGGAUGCCCUUCCUAGGGUUAAUAGAUGAUAUACUCAUCUUAAUUCUCUAUGUAGAGUUUUUGUGAAACUGUUGUCUUAAACUGUUUCGGAAAAUAAAGAAUCUAACUGUAUUAGAUUCUUCACUCAAACCAGAAAAAAACAAGUAGUUGCACCGUUUUGUUAUGUCUCUCUUGAAAUACACAGCCUUUAUUUUAAUUAAUUCUGAAAAUAAUUAUUUAUUAAAAAUAACUUUGUCUUUUUUAAGCAGGUAUUUGGAACAUAGAUUAAGAGAAAAUUUUUAGGGAUGGUUUUAAUUCAGAUCAUUUUUAAAACAAGAGGUGGACUCAGUCUGGUAUCAAAAGGGUUCCACAUGUUGGUUUACCAACUGAGCACCAGUUGAGCACUGGCCUUAUACCAAAAUUUAAAACCAUUAUUAUUCGUACCAGAAGACCUGUUGAGUCAAGUAAAACCAAUACCAUAACUGUGGCCAGUGGCCCCUGGCUGGCUCCCGUGCUGGUGGUAUGUAAAAAGCACUAUCCGAAAGUGAUUAUUGCCAGGCCCGCCUGACUGGCUCCUGUAGCGGUGGCACAUAAAAAGGACCCACUGCACUCUCAGAGUGGUUGG